GCCGUCAUAGCUCAGUGGGAGAGCGUUAGACUGAAGUUUCAGCUGCAUCUACCGGUCGCCUGUUCGAUCCAGGCUGACGGCA